rnacentral:rRNA from 1 species
UACGUAGGGUGCGAGCGUUGUCCGGAAUUAUUGGGCGUAAAGAGCUCGUAGGCGGUCUGUCGCGUCGGUCGUGAAAACUUGGGGCUUAACCCUGAGCUUGCGGUCGAUACGGGCAUGACUGGAGUUCGGCAGGGGAGACUGGAAUUCCUGGUGUAGCAGUGAAAUGCGCAGAUAUCAGGAGGAACACCGGUGGCGAAGGCGGGUCUCUGGGCCGAUACUGACGCUGAGGAGCGAAAGCGUGGGGAGCGAACAGG